AGGCAUGCUUUGGCCUAGGGCCGGUUUUUGUCCUCUCUCCAUAACCGUAGUUUGGACAUGUGAAAGCAUGCUAGAUUGACUCUGAGACAUCGGGGAGUUAACAGGGCCACCAGCCUUUGAGGCCAGGCUGAGUUGGUAGUAUAAAACUCCCACAGUG
rnacentral:snoRNA from 1 species